UGGGGAAUAUUGCACAAUGGACGGAAGUUUGAUGCAGCGACGCCGCGUGGCGGGUGUAGGCCUUCGGGUUGUGAACUCCUUUUUCUCGCGAAAAAGGCACAGUUUUGGCUGUGUUGAUGGUAGUGGGGGAAGAAGCGCCGGCUAACUACGUGCCAGCAGCCGCGGUAAUACGUAGGGCGCGAGCGUUGUCCGGAUUUAUUGGGCGUAAAGAGCUCGUAGGUGGUUCGUCGCGUCUGUCGUGAAAGCCAGCAGCUUAACUGUUGGUCUGCGGUGGGUACGGGCGGGCUUGAGUGCGGUAGGGGUGACUGGAAUUCCUGGUGUAGCGGUGGAAUGCGCAGAUAUCAGGAGGAACACCGAUGGCGAAGGCAGGUCACUGGGCCGUUACUGACACUGAGGAGCGAAAGCGUGGGGAGCGAACAGG
rnacentral:rRNA from 1 species